UUGUUGUUUUAGGUGAGAAGGUAAAUAAAUCCCUGUUACUACAUCUUGGCUGGACAUAGAAGUCUCUGGGUUUGAGUUUUGACCCUACACCUUGUGUGCUAUUUGAUUUUGGAAGAAUUACUCAGCCUCUUCCACUUCGUUGUUUAUGAAAUGGGGAUAAUAAUACAAUAAUUAAUUGAUGGAAUCAUACAGGGGAGAACAUGUUAUAGUCCAUGAGAUUAGGCACAGGAGUAUCCAUACACUGAAAGUGAACUUUAAAAAAACAAAACAAAACACAGCACCUGAAUGGGAUGAACUUUCUCCCUAGCAGAAAUCACCUGAACCUUUUUUUCUUGUCCAAAAAAGGGGCAUUUGCCUUAUAUAUUGCCCUUACUCUAAAUAAUGACCCUGCCAUUUACCUGUGGACCUACUGGUAAAGGGGGCACAGGCCAAAAGGCAACUUGUCUCCUCCAAGAACCCAUGGGGCAAAAAACAAGUUUACCUGAAACAUUCUGUCAAAGCUAUACCACCACAGGAUUAUAGUCCCAUUAGCAGAGUCUGUGUAAUUUGUGGUUAAAAAAAUUGUUUUUUUUCUUUAUUUCACCUUAAUCAGUUUUACCAAAUUCCUAUGAAGCAAAAUACAUAAUUAUAAAUUGAGAACAUCUGCCUACAAUUACAAAUAUAUGGAAUUCAUUCAGUUUAUGAUCACUACUUUGACAUUUUAAAAGAAAGUGAUGUUUUUUAAAGAGAAGAUAUCUGUUUUCUGACAUAUUAAAAUUCUAACUUAGUAAUGUGAGAAAAUACUAAAAUUGUAUGGCUUUUUUAUUGCAUGUUUAUUUAGGCCAAACCAGUAUGAGGCAGCUAGAUUAAUUACUUUUUUACUGUUAAGUACUGUACAUAGUUAAUUAUUUCAUCUAAGUCAUGUCUGAGCCAAACCUGUGAAUUACUGUUCAUGCAGGGCAAUGAUGAUAAUUUAUGUACUCCCUCCAUGCUACAGCUUGUUAAUAUAUUAUUUUUGAUUUGAAACUAGAUGUUAAAAGUUGGCAAGAGGCUUUUAAAGACUACUCCGUGACAUAAGUUCUAAAAUUAUGGAUUUCAAAAUUAAGGUUGACAAC
rnacentral:lncRNA from 1 species